UGGGGAAUCUUGGACAAUGGGCGCAAGCCUGAUCCAGCCAUGCCGCGUGAGUGAUGAAGGCCCUAGGGUUGUAAAACUCUUUCGUGGGGGACGAUAAUGACGGUACCCCAAGAAGAAGCUCCGGCUAACUUCGUGCCAGCAGCCGCGGUAAUACGAAGGGGGCUAGCGUUGUUCGGAUUUACUGGGCGUAAAGCGCGUGUAGGCGGGCUGGAAAGUUGGGGGUGAAAUCCCGAGGCUCAACCUCGGAACUGCCUCCAAAACUUCCAGCCUGGACUCAAGUAGAGGCAAGUGGAAUUGCGAGUGUAGAGGUGAAAUUCGUAGAUAUUCGCAGGAACACCAGUGGCGAAGGCGACUUGCUGGACUUGUAGUGACGCUGAGACGCGAAAGCGUGGGGAGCAAACAGG
rnacentral:rRNA from 1 species